rnacentral:sRNA from 1 species
GGAUUACUCCUUUACGCUUUCGCGUUUGGUUGAUAAAGAUUCGCACCUCUAUCAAACCGGGUAAUCCCACCUCUUGGCAAGACCUGCUGUCAGAUCAAAUCUGAACUACUACAACUGAAUCCUUCUGUCUGUUGCUACAUUGACAGAUCGUAAUCGUUAUUCCGAUCAGGCGAUUGCCUAUUCUUCCGGGAUUGUCGUUGUUC